AGUGAACGCUGGCGGUAGGCCUAACACAUGCAAGUCGAACGGCAGCACAGUAAGAGCUUGCUCUUACGGGUGGCGAGUGGUGGACGGGUGAGGAAUACAUCGGAAUCUACUUUUUCGUGGGGGAUAACGUAGGGAAACUUACGCUAAUACCGCAUACGACCUACGGGUGAAAGCAGUGGAUCUUCGGACCUUGCGCGAUUGAAUGAGCCGAUGUCGGAUUAGCUAGUUGGCGGGGUAAAGGCCCACCAAGGCGACGAUCCGUAGCUGGUCUGAGAGGAUGAUCAGCCACACUGGAACUGAGACACGGUCCAGACUCCUACGGGAGGCAGCAGUGGGGAAUAUUGGACAAUGGGCGCAAGCCUGAUCCAGCCAUACCGCGUGGGUGAAGAAGGCCUUCGGGUUGUAAAGCCCUUUUGUUGGGAAAGAAAAGCAGCAGGUUAAUACCCCGCUGUUCUGACGGUACCCAAAGAAUAAGCACCGGCUAACUUCGUG
rnacentral:rRNA from 1 species